UUAAAGCCUUAUGGGUUUGCCAUUAGCGGCUGUAGACGGAUUUUCCAGAAAGAUGAUGUGGCUCAAAUGUGGAAAAUCAAACAACGAUCCUUGCAUCAUGGCUGGAUAUUACCUUGAAUGUGUGGCUGAAUUUGGAGUUUUCCCAAUGUGCCUACGCACAGACUGUGGCACUGAAAACGGAUUGAUGGCAUCAUUACAUUGUGCCUUGAGAUCUAAACACACAGACGAGUUUGCAGGUGCAAAAAGCCAUAUGUAUCAAACAUCAAACCAAAGGAUAGAAAGCUGGUGGUCCCAUUUCAGAAAACAAAGAACUCAGUUUUGGAUGGACCAGUUUGGAGAGUUGAGGGAGAGACAUCUUUUCAAUGGAAGCCCCACACACAUGGGUUUGAUGAGAUACUGCUUUAUGGAUGUCCUUCAAAAAGAACUGAAUGACUACAAGCAGCAUUGAAAUACUCAUACAAUCCGCCCAGUUAGACAAUCAAGAUGCCCCUCUGGAAAACCAGAGGCUAUGUACCAUGUACCUCACAGAAAAGGACUCAGAACAUGAAGCCAAAGAAGUAGAGGACUCGGCCCAGAGACACCAAAUGGAAAAGCCCAUUGCAGUAAUCAACCCUACAGAAGAUGAAUG